AUGAACGCUAGCGGGAGGCCUAACACAUGCAAGCCGAGCGGUAGAGUCUCUUCGGAGACUUGAGAGCGGCGCACGGGUGCGGAACACGCGUGCAACCUGCCUUUAUCUGGGGGAUAGCCUUUCGAAGGGAAGAUUAAUACCCCAUAAUAUACUGGAUGGCAUCAUCUGGUAUUGAAAACUCCGGUGGAUAGAGAUGGGCACGCGCAAGAUUAGAUAGUUGGUGAGGUAACGGCUCACCAAGUCAGCGAUCUUUAGGGGGCCUGAGAGGGUGAUCCCCCACACUGGUACUGAGACACGGACCAGACUCCUACGGGAGGCAGCAGUGAGGAAUAUUGGACAAUGGGUGAGAGCCUGAUCCAGCCAUCCCGCGUGAAGGACGACGGCCCUAUGGGUUGUAAACUUCUUUUGUAUAGGGAUAAACCUAGAUACGUGUAUCUAGCUGAAGGUACUAUACGAAUAAGCACCGGCUAACUCCGUG
rnacentral:rRNA from 1 species